rnacentral:rRNA from 1 species
GAACGCUGACGGCAUGCUUUACACAUGCAAGUCGAACGGCAGCGAGGAGAAGCUUGCUUCUCUGUCGGCGAGUGGCGAACGGGUGAGUAUAGCAUCGGAACGUGCCAAGUAGUGGGGGAUAACCAAACGAAAGUUUGGCUAAUACCGCGUAAGCUCCAAGGAGGAAAGUAGGGGACCUAAAUAAGGCCUUACGCUAUUUGAUCGGCCGAUGUCGGAUUAGCUAGUUGGUGGGGUAAUGGCUCACCAAGGCAAUGAUCCGUAGCGGGUCUGAGAGGACGAUCCGCCACACUGGGACUGAGACACGGCCCAGACUCCUACGGGAGGCAGCAGUGGGGAAUUUUGGACAAUGGGGGAAACCCUGAUCCAGCCAUGCCGCGUGUAUGAAGAAGGCCUUAGGGUUGUAAAGUACUUUUGUUAGGGAAGAAAAGCUAGUUUUUAAUAAAAAUUAGUGAUGACGGUACCUAAAGAAUAAGCACCGGCUAACUACGUGCCAGCAGCCGCGGUAAUACGUAGGGUGCAAGCGUUAAUCGGAAUUAUUGGGCGUAAAGCGAGUGCAGACGGUUACUUAAGCCAGAUGUGAAAUCCCCAAGCUUAACUUGGGACGUGCAUUUGGAACUGGGUGACUAGAGUGUGUCAGAGGGAGGUAGAAUUCCACAUGUAGCGGUGGAAUGCGUAGAGAUGUGGAGGAAUACCGAUGGCGAAGGCAGCCUCCUGGGAUAACACUGACGUUGAGGCUCGAAAGCGUGGGGAGCAAACAGGAUUAGAUACCCUGGUAGUCCACGCCCUAAACGAUGACAAUUAGCUGUUGGGCUUUGAAAGGCUUAGUAGCGAAGCUAACGCGAGAAAUUGUCCGCCUGGGGAGUACGGUCGCAAGAUUA